ensembl:misc_RNA
ACAGCUUUGGACAAAAGUCUACAGCCUGUGCAUUUGAAACUCCCUCUGCACAAGGGCCAGUGUAGCUGGGGGAAGACAUUUUACUCCUCUGCGCUCUCCCUUCCCACAGUCAGCUGGUCCCUCUUCUCAGGUGUAGAUCCCCUAUGAGGAUUCCACCUCAUUCUGAUAGUUUGCUAAGGACAGCCCCCAGGACUUAGCAGCUGGGAUAGGCCUCACUUAAAGGCAGCUCU